rnacentral:rRNA from 1 species
ACUCCUACGGGAGGCAGCAGUGGGGAACUAUUGCACAAUGGGCGCAAGCCUGAUGCAGCAACGCCGUGUGAGUGAAGAAGGUUUUCGGAUCGUAAAACUCUGUCCUUAAGGGAAGAAAAAAUGACGGUACCUUAAGGAGGAACGCCCCGGCUAACUACGUGCCAGCAGCCGCGGUAAUACGUAGGGGGCAAGCGUUAUCCGGAAUCACUGGGCGUAAAGGGUGCGUAGGCGGCUUGACAAGCCAGGGGUGAAAGGCAUUGGCUCAACCAAUGUAAGCCCUUUGGAAACUGUUAAGCUUGAGUGCAGGAGAGGUAAGUGGAAUUCCUAGUGUAGAGGUGAAAUUCGUAGAUAUUAGGAGGAACACCAGUGGCGAAGGCGACUUACUGGAACUGUAACUGACGCUGAUGCACGAAAGGCUGGGUAGCGAACAGGAUUAGAUACCCUGGUAGCACAGAG